AUUGAACGCUGGCGGCAGGCCUAACACAUGCAAGUCGAGCGGAUGAAGGGAGCUUGCUCCUGGAUUCAGCGGCGGACGGGUGAGUAAUGCCUAGGAAUCUGCCUGGUAGUGGGGGAUAACGUCCGGAAACGGGCGCUAAUACCGCAUACGUCCUGAGGGAGAAAGUGGGGGAUCUUCGGACCUCACGCUAUCAGAUGAGCCUAGGUCGGAUUAGCUAGUUGGUGGGGUAAAGGCCUACCAAGGCGACGAUCCGUAACUGGUCUGAGAGGAUGAUCAGUCACACUGGAACUGAGACACGGUCCAGACUCCUACGGGAGGCAGCAGUGGGGAAUAUUGGAAAAGGGGCGAAAGUCUGAGACAGCCAUGCCGCGUGUGUGAAGAAGGUCUGCGGAUUGUAAAGCACUUUAAGUUGGGAGGAAGGGCAGUAAGUUAAUACCUUGCUGUUUUGACGUUACCAACAGAAUAAGCACCGGCUAACUUCG
rnacentral:rRNA from 1 species